UACGUAGGGUGCAAGCGUUAAUCGGAAUUACUGGGCGUAAAGCGUGCGCAGGCGGUGAUGUAAGACAGUUGUGAAUCCCCGGGCGUCAACCUGGGAACUGCAUCUGUGACUGCAUUGCUGGAGUGCGGCAGAGGGGGGAUGGAAUUCCGGCGUGUAGCAGUGAAAUGCGUAGAUAUGCGGAGGAACACCGAUGGCGGAAGGCAA
rnacentral:rRNA from 1 species